rnacentral:rRNA from 1 species
CCUACGGGAGGCUGCAGUAGGGAAUCUUCCACAAUGGGCGAAAGCCUGAUGGAGCAACGCCGCGUGGGUGAAGAAGGUCUUCGGAUCGUAAAACCCUGUUGUCAGAGAAGAACGUGCGUGAGAGUAACUGUUCACGUUUCGACGGUAUCUACCCAGAAAGCCACGGCUAACUACGUGCCAGCAGCCGCGGUAAUACGGAGGUGGCAAGCGUUAUCCGGAAUUAUUGGGCGUAAAGGGCACGCAGGCGGUCUUUUAAGUCUGAUGUGAAAGCCCUGGGCUUAACGGGGGUAGUGCAUUGGAAACUGGGAGACUUGAGUGCAGAAGAGGAGAGUGGAAGUCCAGGUGUAGCGGUGAAAUGCGUAGAUAUAUGGAAGAACACCAGUGGCGAAAGCGACUCUCUGGUAUGUAACUGACGCUGAGGUGCGAAAGCGUGGGUAGCAAACAGGAUUAGAUACCCCGGUAGUC